rnacentral:piRNA from 2 species
UGACUGCUCUUCCAGAGGACCUGAGU